rnacentral:vault_RNA from 1 species
GAGCCAUCUUAGCCCAGCGGUUCCAUCGAAAAACGCAUAGCUUGGAUCCUGCAAUCGCCCACAGGCAGCAGUUUGAAACCUGAGGGCGCUGACUGGCUUUAAA